rnacentral:rRNA from 1 species
GCGGUAUUUUGACGGAGCGACCGGUGCAUAACCAUUAGUCUUUUAAUUGGAGGCUGGAAUGUUUGGUUGGACGAGAAGGAAGCUGUCUGGGUUUUGAUGAUUGAAUCUAACUUUUAAGUGAAAAGGCUUAAAUGAGUUAUAGGGACAAUUAUACCCUAUAAAGUGUAUACAUGAAGUUGGUUAACUCUGAUUUAAACGAGAAAACUUUAUUAUCAGCAGGGUGUUUAGUUGGGGCGACUAGGAUAUAAAUUAUAUAACUGUUUUUUGUUUAAAUCAGACUUAACCAACUGUAUGGUCCUUUUUUAGGAGACUAGAAUAAAUUACUUUAGGGAUAACAGCGUAAUUUUUUUUAAGAGUUCUUAUCGACAAAAGAGUUUGCGACCUCGAUGUUGAAUUAAAAAUUUCUCUGUGGUGUAUCAGUUACAGGAGAAGGUUUGUUCCACCUUUAAAUUUUUACAUGAUUUGAGUUCAGACCGGCGAAA